rnacentral:rRNA from 1 species
CCUACGGGAGACAGCAGUGAGGAAUAUUGGUCAAUGGGCGCGAGCCUGAACCAGCCAAGUCGCGUGAGGGAAGACUGUCCUAUGGAUUGUCAACCUCUUUUGUCGGGGAGCAAAAGGCGCCAUGCGUGGCGCUCCGAGAGUACCCGAUGCAAAAGCAUCGGCAAACUCCGUGCCAGCAGCCGCGUUAAUACGGAGGAUGCGAGCGUUAGCCGGAUUUAUUGGGUUUAAGGGAUGCGCAGGCGGAAGAUCAAGUCAGCGGUAAAAUUGGGAGGCUCAACCUCUUCGAGCCGUUGAAACUGGUUUUCUUGAGUGAGCGAGAGGUAGGCGGAAUGCGUGGUGUAGCGGUGAAAUGCAUAGAUAUCACGCAGAACUCCGAUUGCGAAGGCAGCAUACCGGCGCGCAACUGACGCGCAUGCACGAAAGUGUGGGUAUCGAACAGGAUUAGAUACCCGAGUAGUC